CCUACGGGAGGCAGCAGUGAGGAAUAUUUGUCAAUGGACGAGAGUCUGAACCAGCCAAGUAGCGUGAAGGAUGACUGCCCUAUGGGUUGUAAACUUCUUUUAUAUGGGAAUAAAACAGGGUAUGCAUACCCUCUUGUAUGUACCAUAUGAAUAAGGAUCGGCUAACUCCGUGCCAGCAGCCGCGGUAAUACGGAGGAUCCGAGCGUUAUCCGGAUUUAUUGGGUUUAAAGGGAGCGUAGGUGGAUUGUUAAGUCAGUUGUGAAAGUUUGCGGCUCAACCGUAAAAUUGCAGUUGAAACUGGCAGUCUUGAGUACAGUAGAGGUGGGCGGAAUGCGUGGUGUAGCGGUGAAAUGCGUAGAUAUCACGAAGAACGCCGAUUGCGAAGGCAGCUCACUGGACUGCAACUGACACUGAUGCUCGAAAGUGUGGGUAGCAAACAGGAUUAGAUACCCUAGUAGUC
rnacentral:rRNA from 1 species